ACGCAAAACGUCGUUGACUGAGGCCCUGGGGAGAGCUGAGCGGCGCAGGAACAGCGUUGGAUGAAACUGUGAAAAUAUAGAGUAAAACCAACGUUAGAGUCGUCGCUUCGGUUUGUUAGCACUGUGAGAAACUUCAUCGCUGAAAAACCUAGGAGCUAUUUUUGUCCAUCAGCAGUGAGGCUGGACGCUGAGUUCACCCGCGCGAAGGUGUCACCACUUCAUCCACCGCAUCGUCCAUGAUCACAGAGACGUCGUCCAUGAUCGGAGAGACAUUGUUGAGGAUGAGGGAGACAUCGUCCACGAUCAGAGACAUUGUCCAUGACUCGUGGUGACUCGGUCCCCGAUAAGUCGGCAUUGCUGGCGUUCAGAGACAUUGUCGAUGAUCGCAGAGACUUUGUCCAUAAUCUCAGAGACAUUGUCCGCGAUCGCAAAGACGUCUUCCACGAUCGCAGAGACAUGGUCCAUGAUCGGUGAGGCAUUGUUGAGGAUGAGGGAGACAUCGUCCACGAUCAGAGACAUUGUCCAUGACUCGUGGUGACUCGGUCCCCGAUAAGUCGGCAUUGCUGGCGUUCAGAGACAUUGUCGAUGAUCCAGAGACUUUGUCCAUAAUCUCAGAGACAUUGUCCACGAUCACAGGGACGUAGUCCACGGUCGCAGAGAGUCUUCGUUCAGUGAAGAAGUUCUUUGAGACCAGGACAGAGGGCUCCAGGUGUCACCACUUCAUCCACCGCAUCGUCCAUGAUCACAGAGACGUCGUCCAUGAUCGGAGAGACAUUGUUGAGGAUGAGGGAGACAUCGUCCACGAUCAGAGACAUUGUCCAUGACUCGUGGUGACUCGGUCCCCGAUAAGUCGGCAUUGCUGGCGUUCAGAGACAUUGUCGAUGAUCGCAGAGACUUUGUCCAUAAUCUCAGAGACAUUGUC